rnacentral:lncRNA from 1 species
UAAAUUCUGUAAAGGGAGGCCUUUUUUACACGAAUAUUGAAUAGAAAAAAAGAUUUAGAGCAAAAAAGGUGAUUUUGAGUUUUUUUCGUUCCUCUCGAUUUUCUUUUUUCGACUUUUAGAUUGCUUUUUCUUUUAUUUACUGUUUGAGAAAGGGAAACGGAAGGAAAGUGAAGUAUUUUACCUUGGUUGCGAAGCCGAAU